rnacentral:rRNA from 1 species
UACGUAGGGGGCAAGCGUUGUCCGGAAUCAUUGGGCGUAAAGAGCGUGUAGGCGGCCCGGUAAGUCCGCUCUGAAAGUCCGGGGCUCAACCCCGGGAGGCGGGCGGAUACUGUCGGGCUAGAGUCCGGAAGAGGCGAGUGGAAUUCCUGGUGUAGCGGUGAAAUGCGCAGAUAUCAGGAGGAACACCAAUGGCGAAGGCAGCUCGCUGGGACGGUACUGACGCUGAGGCGCGAAAGCGUGGGGAGCAAACAGG